UACAUGUGGGGCAAGCGUUGUUCGGAAUUACUGGGCAUAAAGGGUGCGUAGGCGGCUUGCUAAGUCAGUGGUGAAAUCGUCCGGCCCAACCGGACACGUGCCAAUGAUACUGGUGAGCUAGAGUGCGUGAGGGAUAGGGGGAACGAGCAGUGUAGCGGUGAAAUGCGUAGAUAUUGCUCGGAAGGCCAAAGCCGAAGGGACCCUACUGGUGCGCAACUGACGCUGAGGCACGAAAGCGUGGGGAGCAAACAGG
rnacentral:rRNA from 1 species